CUCAUCUGGAACUACAGCAACACAAAUCUACAAGGCGUGUGCAUCUUCCUCUCUGUGUCCAGCUACGGGCAAUCAGACAUUUUCAGUUAACCUGGGUGUUCAAAGUGUUCUUGCAUCUGCCACGUGCUGCAACACGGAUAACUGCAACUCACAAAAUCUGCCUGCUCCUACUCGUCAGUCAAGUAACGGCCUACUAUGUAACGUUUGUGUCGCCUCUCAGUGCAACACUACAUUACAGUGUCAGGGAGUGGAGGACCAAUGCUUUCAAUCAACGAUGACGGACGGCACCAAGAGUUUCCCAGCUUACGGCUGUGCAUCUAAAAACCUGUGUGCAGCUGCUUCAAGCCUGGGUUCUUUACCUUUCAUGCAGAGGGUUGGUACCAUAACAAGUCGACAAACCUGUAGUUCACCCACAACCACAACAACUGGUCCUCCAACCACAACCACAGCUGCCCCAACCACAAGAACACCUGCAUCAACCACCACAAUUUCUGCACCAACCACCACAAUCGCUGCACCAACCACGACCACUUCUUC
ensembl:lncRNA